rnacentral:rRNA from 1 species
GCCUACGGGGCGCAGCAGUGAGGAAUAUUGGUCAAUGGUCGGGAGACUGAACCAGCCAAACCGCGUGAGGGAUGAAGGUACAGAGUAUCGUAAACCUCUUUUGUCAGGGAACAAAGGCGGGGACGUGUCCCCGGAUGAGUGUAACUGAAGAAAAAGCAUCGGCUAACUCCGUGCCAGCAGCCGCGGUAAUACGGAGGAUGCGAGCGUUAUCCGGAUUUAUUGGGUUUAAAGGGUGCGCAGGCGGUCUGUUAAGUCAGCGGUCAAAGCCCGGGGCUCAACCCCGGCCCGCCCGUGGAACUGGCAGG